CAGCAGCCGCGGGAAUACGUAGGUCCCGAGCGUUGUCCGGAUUUAUUGGGCGUAAAGGGAGCGCAGGCGGUUUAGUAAGUCUGAAGUUAAAGGCAUUGGCUCAACCAAUGUAUGCUUUGGAAACUGUUAGACUUGAGUGCAGAAGGGGAGAGUGGAAUUCCAUGUGUAGCGGUGAAAUGCGUAGAUAUAUGGAGGAACACCGGUGGCGAAAGCGGCUCUCUGGUCUGUCACUGACGCUGAGGCUCGAAAGCGUGGGUAGCGAACAGGAUUAGAGACCCCAGUAGUCCCUGUCUCUUAUACC
rnacentral:rRNA from 1 species